UCCUGGUAGUGCCAAAGUGCUCAUAGUGCAGGUAGUUUUUUGCAAAUAACUACUGUACUAUGGGCACUUCAGCGCUCCUGGGUAAUGUAUCA
ensembl:miRNA MIR20B microRNA 20b